CGGAGGAUGCAAGCGUUAUCCGGAUUCAUUGGGUUUAAAGGGUGCGUAGGCGGCUUUUUAAGUCAGUGGUGAAAUCCUGCCGCUUAACGGUAGAAUUGCCAUUGAUACUGAAAAGCUUGAGUACGGUUGAGGUAAGCGGAAUGUGUAGUGUAGCGGUGAAAUGCUUAGAUAUUACACAGAACACCAAUUGCGAAGGCAGCUUACUAAACCGGCAACUGACGCUGAUGCACGAAAGCGUGGGGAGCGAACAGGAUUAGAUACCCUGGUAGUCCACGCCGUAAACGAUGUUCACUCGCUGUUUGCGAUACACAGCAAGCGGCCAAGCGAAAGCAUUAAGUGAACCACCUGGGGAUACGAUCGCAAGGUUG
rnacentral:rRNA from 1 species